rnacentral:rRNA from 1 species
UACGUAGGGGGCUAGCGUUGUCCGGAAUCAUUGGGCGUAAAGCGCGUGUAGGCGGUCCGGUAAGUCCGCUGUGAAAGUCGGGGGCUCAACCCUCGAAAGCCGGUGGAUACUGUUGGGCUAGAGUACGGAAGAGGCGAGUGGAAUUCCUGGUGUAGCGGUGAAAUGCGCAGAUAUCAGGGGGAACACCAAUUGCGAAGGCAGCUCGCUGGGACGUCACUGACGCUGAGACGCGAAAGCGUGGGGAGCAAACAGG